rnacentral:rRNA from 1 species
ACCUAAUAGAUACCCAGGUAGUCCACGCCCUAAACGAUGCGAACUGGAUGUUGGGUACAUUACGGUACUCAGUGUCGAAAGCUAAACGCGUUAAGUUCGCCGCCUGGGGAGUACGGUCGCAAGACUGAAACUCAAAGGAAUUGACGGGGCCCGGCACAAGCGGUGGAGUAUGUGGUUUAAUUACGAUGCAACGCGAAGAACCUUACCUUGGCCUUCGACAUCUGUCGAAUCCUGCAGAGAUGCGGGAGGUGCCGCAAGGAACGACAAGACAGGUGCUGCAUGGCUGUCGUCAGCUCGUGUCGUGAGAUGUUGGGUUAAGUUCCCGCAACGAGCGCAACCCUUGUCCCUAGUUGCCAGCACAUCAUGGUGGGAACUCUAGGGAGACUGCCGGUGACAAACCGGAGGAAGGUGGGGAUGACGUCAAGUCCUCAUGG